rnacentral:misc_RNA from 1 species
CGACAAGUAAGUGAUCCAAAGCACCUUGAUUAUUUCAAAACUCAAUCACAUGGAUCCCAAAUGAAAAAUGCAAGAAAUUUUCAUCACAGGUCACAUAAGCAUGGUAUAUUAAUAACAAGAACAAAAGCAGUUCAUAAUAAUCCCUUAACUUCGUUCCAUCAUCUUGUACCCCAUUUUUAAGGAAAUUGUCGUUUCCUUUUCUAUAUGUAAAAAAGUGAUACAUAAGGCACACAAAUCACACUCUCUUACAACUUGCCGCCUCAUGUAGUGUAGUUAGUUCACACAUACACACGUCCGUACAUAUGUAUGAAUAAGAAUAUACUCACACGUGCACGUGCAAAAGAAAAAACAAUUUCACACACGUUUACAGUGUUUUACAUGUAGCAGUUUGUCUGCGCGUGUGACCUUAUAGACUGUUCCCUUCAUGCUUCAUCAACCAUGUCUCUGUGGCGCUUAAUACCCUUGGAACUGAGGGGGAGGCGGAGAUGCGUACUUGUUGGCCAUGAUAGGUGGAAGGAUGAUGUCAUUGAAUGAUGGUGGAGGUUGGGAUUCUGCUGGUGGUGGUAAUGACUGCUCUUCUUUCUUCGGCGGGGCAGGGGUGACAACCGGAGGAGGUGAGCUUACUGGGGCCGGUGGUGGUAGUGAUGGUGGCUUCACUGGUGCUGGUGGAGGCGAGCUAACUGGAGCUGGUGGUGGCGAGCUCAUGGGAGCAGGUGGAGGUGACGACUUAGGCGUCAUCGGUGGUGAGCUAACCAUUGCCGGUGGUGGAGAGGACUUAACUAUUGGAGGUGGCAAGCUCACGGGAGUAGGUGGCGGUGAUGACUUGGGCGCCAAUGGUGGUGAGCUGAGUGGUGCUGGUGGUGGAGAAGUCUUCUCUACUUGAGGUGGUGAACUCACUGGAGCAAGUGGAGAAGACUUCACUUGAGGUGCAGGCGGUGGUGAGCUUAGUGGCGCUGGUGGUGGAGAAGACUUCACCGACGGUGGUGAGCUUACUGGAGCUAGUGCCGGUGGUGAGCUAACUGGUGUUGGAGGUGGUGAACUUACAGGAGCUGGUGGAGGUAGAGACUUUUCUGGAGGCGGCGAUGACUUCACCGAAGUGGGUGGUGUUGGGUAUUCCUCUGGAGGUGGGGUUGAUUUCGCAGGAGGCGGUGGCGGUGGUGACUUCUCUGGAGGAGGAGGUGAGCUCACAGGAGUCGGGGGUGGUGGAGAUUUCAUCGGUGGAGGUGAAGAUGCCACUGGUGCUGGCGGAGGAGGUGAUGCCACUGGCGUUGGUGGGGGAGGUGAUUUCACAGGAGGCGGUGGUGAUGCCACUAGCGUUGGUGGGGGAGGUGAUUUCACAGGCGGUGGUGGUGAGGCCACCGGUGCUGGCGGAGGAGGUGAUUUUUCAGGUGGUGGAGAUGGUGAAGCAAUAGGGGCCGGUGGAGAAGUAGUCUUCACAGGUGGCGGUGGUGAUGCCACUGGUGCCUGCGGAGGAGACAACUUCACCAGUGACGGAGGUGGGGUGGAGGCAGCUGGAGGCUGAACCUGAGGCGAUGGUGAGGUAGCUGGCGGUGACUUUCCGGGUACAGGUGGUGUUGGCGGUACAUAAUCGUCCGCUGGCGGUGAAUGAGGGGUCGGCAUCGGCAUGGGUGCAGGUGCAGGCACCGGCGAAGGUUCUGGAAGCGGCUCUGGCGAUACAUCCGGCGGUGUGUGCGGGGAUGGCAUGGGCGCAGACGCAGCAGGCUUCCCUGGCACCGGCGACGACGGCGGCCCUCCUCCGGGCGUGGGGUAGCCAGCGCACACGUGCUUGCUACAGUCGACGGGGCGCGCAAGCACGGGGGCGCACUGCAGCGCGGUCUUCUGCGCCGGGCGCAGCGCGCCGAGGCAGUUGUCCCUGUCGUCGAGGUUGACGAGCGCCUUGUCGGACGGCAUGCACACGGCGGCCUCCGAGUUGAAGAAGUUGAAGGCGAAGCUGAAGUUGACGAGCGCCGGGAGCUCGCAGAUGGACUCGUGCACGAUGCCGGUGAAAACGUUCCGGGACACGUCGAGCUGCUCCAGCUUGGCUAUGUUGGAGAGCUGCUCGGGGAUGGUGCCGACGAGCAUGUUCCCGCUGACGUCGAUGACGGUGGUGUUGACCAGCAGGCCCAUCUCCAACGGCAGGCACCCGUCGAGCUUGUUGUUGAGGAAGAUGAUCUCGUCCAGCGUCUUAACCAUGCGGCCGAUGCUCUUGGGGAUGCAUCCGACGAAGGCGUUGUUGGCGAAGACGAUGACGGACGCCGUGGAAUUGCCGAGGUUCUCGGGGAUGGGCCCUACGAAGCGGUUGGUGUUGACGAAGAUGGCGUCGAGGUCUUUGUCGAAGAGCGCCGGCGGCAGCUCGCCCUCGAAGUCGUUGAACCGGAGGUCGAGGUACUUGAGCGACACCAUCUCGAGGCAGACGUAGGGGAAGACGCCCACGAAGCGGUUGUUGCUGACGUCGAACUCGUGCAGCAGCGACAGCCGCGACAUGCUCUUGGGGAUGAUGCCGCAGAAGCGGUUGGUGUUGAUGUGGAAGAAGGCGAGGUCGGUGAGCAGGCCGAGCUCCGGGGGGAGGUACCCGGCGAUGUCGGCGCCGUUGAGGUCGAUCCCGGCCACGACCGUGAUCUUGGGGUCGUCCAGCGCCUCGGUGCAGAUGACGCCAUUGUACUUGCACACGUCUUCGCCGACCCAGUUGGCGGUGUAGCCCUUGGGGUCGGAGUAGAAGGCGCGGUGCCAGGCCUGGAGCGCGAUGUACGCGCGGCGGAGGCGCGGGUUGGGGAAGUUGGCGCCCAUCGGGCAGGAGCCGGAGAGGAGGGUCCAUGGGGGAGCGAGCGGGCCGUGGGCGUGCACACUGAGGUCGACA